GACCGAUGCGUCCCGCGCUCUAGGCGAAGACCGCGGCCCCGUCCCCGCGCCUCCACCGCCUUCUUCCAGGAGGAGGGGCCGUGCGGCGCCUGCCCGGGGGCCCUCAGGCCGCAGGCGGGCGCGAGCUUCAGGGAACUUAGGGGGCUCCCGCCUCCCCGGCCACGCGAGCGGGAACAGUCUCCUCCACUCGGAGCGGCGCCAUCUUCAGCUCUGAGUCACCAGGGCUGGAAAAAUACUAGAUGCGCUACUCGUGGACUCGUGAAUACACUCGUGAAUACAGGCCAUUUCCUGUACCUACAGCCACCCGCUGGCAUGGGAAGAGGACCAUAGUUUCUGUGGCCUCCCUAAGAUGGCCUGCCACCUCUCCUGAUGCUGGUGACUUCUUGUGAUGGUGGGGCAAUAUUAAGUGUUUGAAAAAGGAAGAAGUUCUUAUUCCCAAAGUUGUAUUCAGUUAUCAAAACAACAAUUAUUUUGUAUAAACUGCAUCAGAGACAACUGAAGAUGAAAGAACUACCAUCUCCACAUAUAACUAAUUUGUGCAGUGCACCAGAAAGAACCUGUUUAAAUUUCCAUGCCAAUUUGCAACCCCCAUACUGUGCCAGAUUAUAGAUCCAGACUCCUGUGCCUGACCACUGCCCAUGGCCAACUCUCUGCUGAUGACUGGACUUGACUACACAAGUUGUUGGCCAUCUUAAAACCACUCAAAGUUGACGGUCUCCUCUCCUGCCUCCUGCGGCUUCCAUUACCAUGGCAGAGACUGUGGUGUCUGAGGUGGUGUAGCGUACUGAAGCAAGGCUGUCUUGAAGAAGAGGAGACAACUCACAAUUCUACCACCUUUGUUGACCUCUUCUUCCCCCCAACUUAUUGCUGUAGAGGCUACCUGAGCUCAUUGUCCCUGGAGAUGGACCAAAUAGAAGAAUAAGCAGUGCCUGUGUGCUGAAGGUAAAGAAAUUUCAUGUGGUGGAUUCCUACAAAAGAAAAAGCUGCAAAAGAGUCAACCAGGAAAGGUGCUAGACACACAUCCAAUGGCUGCUGAGUGAUGAAUGAGAAAGAAACCUUCGGUGUAGUAAGCCAUUGAAAUUUGGGGGAAAUUUGUAAUAGCUGUUGCUGUAAACCUCCGCACUGCAAAACACACACAUCCUAGAUAAUUAAAAGACAACUUCUACCAGA
rnacentral:lncRNA from 1 species